UACAGGGGGGGCAAGCGUUGUUCGGAAUUACUGGGCGUAAAGGGCUUGUAGGCGGCCAACUAAGUCACACGUGAAAUCCCCAGGCUUAACCUGGGAACUGCAUUCGAGACUGCAUAGCUAGAGUAUGGGAGAGGGAAGUGGAAUUUCAGGUGUAGCGGUGAAAUGCGUAGAUAUCUGAAGGAACAUCAGUGGCGAAAGCGACUUCCUGGACCAAUACUGACGCUCAUGUGCGAAAGCGUGGGGGAGCAAACAGG
rnacentral:rRNA from 1 species